rnacentral:rRNA from 1 species
GUCUUCUUGUUAUAUUUAGGAAGUCUGGCCUGCCCAGUGAAAAUAAUUUAACGGCCGCGGUAUACUGACCGUGCAAAGGUAGCAUAAUCAUUAGUCUUUUAAUAGAGGGCUGGUAUGAAGGGUUUAACGAGGUGUUGACUGUCUCAUUUAAUUUGAAUUUAGAAUUUAAUUUUUUAGUUAAAAAGCUAAAAUAUUAUUGGAAGACGAGAAGACCCUAUAGAGCUUUAUAUUUUUAUUAUUAAUUUAUUUUAGUUUAUUAUUAUUUAUUAUUAAUAAAAAAUAUUUUGUUGGGGUGACAAAAAUAUAUAAAUAACUUUUUCAUUUAUUUUACAUUGAUAUAUGAAUAUUAGAUCCAAUCUUAUUGAUUGUUAGAUUAAGUUACCUUAGGGAUAACAGCGUAAUCCCUCUCCAGAGUUCAUAUUUACAGAGGGGCUUGCGACCUCGAUGUUGGAUUAAGAUAAUAAUUAGGUGCAGCCGCUUAAUUAAUAGGUCUGUUCGACCUUUAAAUUCUU